rnacentral:rRNA from 1 species
GACGAACGCUGGCGGCGUGCUUAACACAUGCAAGUCGAACGGAAAGGCCCUGCUUUUGUGGGGUGCUCGAGUGGCGAACGGGUGAGUAACACGUGAGUAACCUGCCCUUGACUUUGGGAUAACUUCAGGAAACUGGGGCUAAUACCGGAUAGGAGCUCCUGCUGCAUGGUGGGGGUUGGAAAGUUUCGGCGGUUGGGGAUGGACUCGCGGCUUAUCAGCUUGUUGGUGGGGUAGUGGCUUACCAAGGCUUUGACGGGUAGCCGGCAUGGGAGGGUGACCGGCCACAUUAGGACUGAGGGACGGACCAGACUCCUACGGGAGGCAGCAGUGGGGAGUAUUGCACAGUGGGCGGGAGCCUGAUGCAGCAACGCCGCGUGCGGAAUGACGGCCUUCGGGUUAUGAACCGCUUUCGCCUGUGACGAAGCGUGAGUGACGGUAAUGGGUAAAGAAGCACCGGCUAACUACGUG